rnacentral:rRNA from 1 species
GCAGCGAUUUUUUAAUAUUAAUUUAUUUUAUUAAAGCUUUAACCCUGCUAAGAACGCUCUUGAGGAUAAGCUCAAAAGUGAGUUUGAGAAGCGCAUAAAAAAAUUUAACUGUGUAAGCCUAAAAUUAGCUACCACAAAAGUUUGUUACAAAAUAGUCAUAUAUAAUAAAAAAAAUUACUAUGCUUUAUACCAAACAUUUAAUAAAGAUAAAAGUUAAAAUUAUUUAAUUUUAUACCUAUGCUAGGAUGAGUAUUAUACCUUAUUUUAGCGUAAGAAAUAUAUUAUUUUCUGCCUUAUGAAUAAUUUAGUAACACUAAUUAAAUAAAAGGAAUUCGGCAAAUUUUUGCUUCGCCUGUUUAUCAAAAACAUGGCUCCCCGCCUAAAAAAAAUGGGGAGUCGAGCCUGCCCAGUGAAAUUUUUUAACGGCCGCGGUACUCUGACCGUGCAAAGGUAGCAUAAUCAUUUGCCUUAUAAUUGAAGGCUAGUAUGAAUGGUUUGACGUGAGCAAUACUGUCUCUUUUUUAUUUUUUAAAAAUUAACUUUUAGGUGAAGAGGCCUAAAUAAAAUUAAAGGACAAGAAGACCCUGUCGAGCUUAAAAGACAAAACAGAAAUUAAUAUCUAAGAAAUAUAUCUCUGUUAAGCUUUUUAGUUGGGGCGACUAAGGAACAAACAAAGCUUCUUUCAAAAAAUCAUGCAAAUCAGCUUAGAUCCAGUAUUACUGAUCAAGAAAACUAGUUACCGCAGGGAUAACAGCAUAAUCUCUCUUGAGAGACCAAAUCGAAAGGGGGGGUUGUGACCUCGAUGUUGGACUAGAAUACCCAGAAGAUGCAGACGUCUUUAAAG